CCUACGGGUGGCAGCAGUGAGGAAUAUUGGUCAAUGGACGAGAGUCUGAACCAGCCAAGUAGCGUGAAGGAUGACUGCCCUAUGGGUUGUAAACUUCUUUUAUAUGGGAAUAAAACGUUCCACGUGUGGGAUUUUGUAUGUACCAUAUGAAUAAGGAUCGGCUAACUCCGUGCCAGCAGCCGCGGUAAUACGGAGGAUCCGAUCGUUAUCCGGAUUUAUUGGGUUUAAAGGGAGCGUAGGUGGAUUGUUAAGUCAGUUGUGAAAGUUUGCGGCUCAACCGUAAAAUUGCAGUUGAAACUGGCAGUCUUGAGUACAGUAGAGGUGAGCGGAAUUCGUGGUGGAGCGGUGAAAUGCUUAGAUAUCACGAAGAACUCCGAUUGCGAAGGCAGUUCACUGGACUGCAACUGACACUGAGGCUCGAAAGUGUGGGUAUCAAACAGGAUUAGAUACCCGUGUAGUC
rnacentral:rRNA from 1 species